UUAACCCCACUCCCCCCCCCCGCCCCGCCGCGCCUCCUAAUGUCGGGGGGCGGGCGCCUUUGGGUCACGUUGUUUGCAGGCCGCGUGUCCCGGGACCUGCGGCCUCUGCUGGGAAAGAGGCUCUCGCUUCUCUCGGGUCCGCGGGUCAGAUGGGAGCGUCCAUCGGUGCAUCUGUGUAGCCAUCCCUGGGGCUGGAGGAGGGAGGACUUUCCUGGCAGCUUUUAAGAUUCUGGGCUGGGAGGGCCGCCCAGGAAGUGUUUCUCCCCCGAGUCCCCCAGAGCUGGCUGAUGGGGAUGAGCUGGGCUGUGGACCUUUUCACUGCCCCCAGAAACCUGAGCCAGAAACUAGGUCACUGGGCUACACAUCACAGAUGAGUACACCUAGACUCCACUCCUUUUGACUGUGUCUCAUCACCCUCCCUGGUCCCAGUAUCCUUGAAAAGCCCCCUGGCCUGCCCCUGAAGACCUCCCACAUCUCUUCUGGGUCUUCCCACCCGCCUGAAGCCCAGGCCUCCAGGGAUUAAGGAUGACCCAAGCCCAUCCCUGUCUCCUUAUUCUGAAGCCUGGAAGGAGCUUUCUUGCAAAGCUUCAGCUCCUUCUCCCUAAUGUCAUCUGUGCCAAGCCCAGGAGCAGCCACAACUCUAGCACUGCCUGCAGGAGGCCCUGAGUCUACUUGUCUUGGCAAGAGGCCUGCAUCCUCAAAGAAGACUGGGGACCUGGCUUGUGCAUCUAGGAGCCCUCACAGGCCAGAGCAGGAGCAAGUGGACAAGGAGCAAAGCCCUGGGCUCCCAACCUGGCCAAUAAAAGGCCCUCUGAAUUCCAUA